rnacentral:misc_RNA from 1 species
AACGCACAUUGCGCCUUCCGGUAUUCCGGGAGGCACGUCUGUUUGAGCGUCAGCUAUACCCCUCCGGCCCCCCCGGUUACAAAACCGGGGGAUCCCGGGCUUGCUGGCGCAGGGGACGCUGGCCGCCGCGUUUCGGCGCGGGUCGGGCCUUCCCCCGCUUAAAACCGUGGAAGAUAGCGGGCACAGGCCCCGGAUAGCGAGCGACUCGUAGGACCUUACCGUCGUCUCUGCGCCUUCCGGCCUGCCCCGCCUCCACCGACUGAGGGUUGGCUCCGGCCGCCUUCUUGAACUCUUGACCUCAAAUCAGACGAGGAUACCCGCUGAACUUAA